rnacentral:rRNA from 1 species
CCUACGGGCGGCAGCAGUGGGGAAUAUUGCACAAUGGGGGAAACCCUGAUGCAGCGACGCCGCGUGAGCGAAGAAGGCUUUCGGUAUGUAAAGCUGUAUCAGCAGGGAAGAAAAUGACGGUACCUGACUACGAAGCACCGUCUAAAUACGUGCCAGCAGCGGCGGUAAUACGUAGGGGGCAAGCGUUAUCCGGAGUUACUGGGUGUAAAGGGAGCGCAGGCGGAGUGGCAAGUCAGAUGUGAAAGGCCUGGGUUUAACUCCAGGACUGCCUUGGAUACUGUUGGGCUAGAGUGUAGGAGAGGUAAGCGGAAGUCAUGGUGUAGCGGUGAAAUGCGUAGAUAUUAGGAGGAACACCAGUGGCGAAGGCGGCUUACUGGACGACAACUGACGUUGAGGCUCGAAAGCGUGGGGAGCAAACAGGAUUAGAUACCCUUGUAGUC